ensembl:lncRNA
CUUGGGGGGAAGUGUUGAGGACACGGCUCCCUCCGCAGACUAGGGCUCUCCAGCCCUGCAGGUCUGCGACCCUCCUCAUGCCAGCACCCGUCCUGGGCAUAGCACCAGCCCCGUCCUUGUCCCUGCUGCGCCCUCUCCCAGUGGUGACUGGCAGAGUUGCAUGGAGACAAGGGGCAUGGGGCUUGGUGCAGUGAGGCCCUCAGCGGCUCCUGGCCCCAGCUCCCCUGCUGGCAGGGGACCCCCAGGAGGGGCCGGGAGCUGGCGGUGCAGCAGGGACCACAGUGAGCCAGGUCUUCUCUACAUUUAUUGCAACCACUAAUGAUUGACAACAUUCACAACUUCUUAGUCUUAGGAAACAAAACUUCGUUUUGGUAACAUCACGAACGUCUUCUAGGUUAGACAGAGGACCAGAUCACUAACACUGCCUAUGGGAUCCCAGGGACGGAAACAAGCCGGGGACGGUCAUACCCGGGUGGUGGCAGCUCGAGCGCUGUCAGAUGCCCGUCGUCCUCUCGGGACCCUGUAGCCAGGACAGAAAUGAUACUGACUGGAGCAGGCCAUGUGUGUGCACAGUGCUCACUCCUCCCUGCCGACCCGGCCCCUGGCGCCCACCACAGUGUGGCAGCCUGGGCCCCUGAGGGGCCUCUGCACUGAGCUGCCCAGGCCGGGCUGGGACUGCAGACCUCCUGCCUCGGCCCCCAGGGUGGGCGUGCAGGGUGCACAUACAGCCGAGUGCACACCACACCCCACCGAGGCUGCUGGAGUUAGGGCGGACAGCAGACAGUGCAGAGCCCUGUGCCAGCCCCGCCCUGCAGGCCAGCUCCUUGGGGCUGGACAGACGCAGCAACAGGGUGACCGGAAGCCAGUGGGGCCUGGCGCUGCACCUUCAGGAGGCCCAUGGGCGGGCUGUAGCCUUGAGGGAGCGCGGCCCCAGCCUGGGGAAGUGGCCCUUCUCAUGCAGAUCCAUGUGACACCCUCGCCACUGAGGUCCCCACCCUGGGGUGCCAGUGGGAUGCAAGUUUCCCAGGUUUGAGGAUGAACUGAAAACUCCAAUGCCACUGCUUACAAGGGUGGGCCGGGUCAGCCUAAGAGCUCUGCCUGCAGUCACAUGCAGCAGGGACUGGACAGUGAGGCCCCUGCAGGUUCAGAAUGGCAACCAGUUGUGGCUUUGGGCCACCCUGAGCUGCCUUCCUACUCCGUACAAUAGGACUUUUUCUUUUUGGAGCUGGGUCUCACUAUGUAGUCCAGGCUGGCCUUGAACUCACGGUGAUCCUCCUGCCUCAGCCUCCAGAACACUGUGCUGACAGGUGUGCACCAGCACACCUGGCUUUAAAACAACCCCCGCAGCUGCUGUAGGCAGGGAGUGGAUGCCCCAGCCUUCUGCAGGGAGCCGAGCUGUGUGAAAGAGGACCCACUGUCUCUUCUUGGCAGUGUCUAGUCAGGUGUGGGCAAGUCUCCAGCGUAACGACUCCCGGACGAGGCCGGUGAGGUGGUGCUGCUGCUGCUGCUGAACGCCUCGCCCAGUCUCUUGGCACGUUUUAGGCAAGACACAUUACUCAUACGUUCACAAAGGCAGCAGCGGUGGUGGCCUGGGGAGACCUGGGCUCACAGCUUGGGCAGUGGUGCAGAAGGGCAAGGAGGCGACCUGUGACCAUGCCAAACUCCCAGGAGCACUGUCUGGUGGUCGUGCCACCUUCAGAGGAGGAAUGGAGACAGACCCAGGGGAGGGCAGGCUCCAGCCGGCUGCCCAGCACCCAGCCUGUGCAGCCGCAUCCACAUGCCGUGCUGGACAGCCCAGGGUGGCGGGUGUGUGCGGGCAACUGGCUCCAUCAGAAGAGCGCCUGCACUCAAAUGGACUUCGGAGGUCACCCGAGAAGGCCCGAGGGGUCUGAGGAGGUUCCCAGGUCCAUAGCCGGUAAAAGCAAAGGGGACAGGGCCCCAGGAAGGAUGGGGUGGCUGCUACAUGCGGCCCUCUUCUGACGGGGGCAGUCUGCACCCAGGCUGCGAUGUGGCAGCUGGCCGUCACCAGAGGAGCGGCCAGCAGCGGCCUGCUCCGGUGUGAGGUGGCAAGGAGCAGCCAGUGGGCGGGCUGUAAUGCUCUGCAGCUGCAACGGAGGCCACUCAGUGUGGGCUGGCCAGACCAAAGCGCUGGGAAGGCCAGGAGCGGACACGGCUGUGUGCACACUGUUGUUUCCCUGUGCACAAUGAGGCGAUUUUAUUGAUCUACUUCUUUGUUUCAAGACAGGGUCUUGCUAUGUAACCCGAGCUGGCCUUGAACUUGUGAUCCUCCUGCCUCGCCCUCCCAAGUGCUGGGAUUACAGGCGUGGUGCCCCCGUGCCUGACUUCAAUAUUCUGUGAUGGCAUCUGAUGUUUUGGGGGAGGCGAGACCCACCAGGGCAGCGGCAGAUACCUGUGGCUCCCCAGGUGGGUCCGCACGAUACCUAUUUGUUGGCCCGCUUGUGUCUGUACAUCUGCAUCAUCCGCUGGCGGAAGACACCGAAUGUGUCCUCCUUCUGCUCGGGGCCUUCAGCACCCAGGCCCUCCCCUCCGAGGCAGCUCCCCUGCAGAGAAGUGGGGUCAUGGCAAGAAGGGAAAGCCAAGCCCCUGUUACAGGAAGGCGGGCACCCUCACCCCACCCCACGGAGCCCAGGUCCCGGCAGGAGCCUGGCUCUGCCAGUACUGCCCAGCAGCACCCGAAACGCCCACUGGGCUCACCCAUGGGGUCUCAGGUCCCCAACCCUGGCCUCUGGAACAACCCCAGAGCACCACUUGGUCCUGAGGCCCAUGAGCGGCCGUGUCACAUGGGAGUGCCCCCCGCCACAUACAGGCUGACAGGCUCCCGGAUGCCUCUGCCACAGGAGCCCAGGCCGCGGCCCUCCUUCCAGCCCCAUCUUCUGCAGCAUCUGGGAAGCCCACGUUCUUGUCCGUCAGCUUCUGCUGGGCGAAGUCCAGGUCCUGGGGUUUCUGGGGAGAGACAAGGCCCGGCGUGUCAGCUUCCCAGCAGCAGGGUCACGGGGAGGCCCAGGGCCUGCCUCACAGAGAACAGCCACAGCCAAAGCCAGGCAUGGUGGUGCAUGCCAGUAACCCCAGCACUGGGGAGGCUGAGACAGGAGAAUUGUCACCAGUUCCAGGCCAGCCUGGCUUCACGGUGAG